GCCGGGGUAGCCUAGUAGCAAGGCGGUGGGCUGCAGACCCGCUUUACGUCGGUGCAAAUCCGACCCCCGGCU
rnacentral:tRNA from 1 species